rnacentral:rRNA from 1 species
UGUACAAUGACUCUCGGCAACGGAUAUCUCGGCUCUCGCAUCGAUGAAGGACGCAGCA